GGAGAGGUGCAGGAGUGGUUGAACUGGCUUGUCUCGAAAACAAGUGUGCAUUCACAUGUACCGAGGGUUCGAAUCCCUCCCUCUCCGCCA
rnacentral:tRNA from 1 species